AACGAACGCUGGCGGCAGGCCUAACACAUGCAAGUCGAACGCCCUAGCAAUAGGGAGUGGCAGACGGGUGAGUAACACGUGGGAACCUUCCCUAUAGUACGGAAUAGCUCAGGGAAACUUGAAGUAAUACCGUAUACGCCCGAGAGGGGAAAGGAUUUAUCGCUAUAGGAUGGGCCCGCGUCGGAUUAGCUAAGUUGGUGAGGUAAUGGCUCACCAAGGCGACGAUCCGUAGCUGGUUUGAGAGAACGACCAGCCACACUGGGACUGAGACACGGCCCAGACUCCUACGGGAGGCAGCAGUGGGGAAUAUUGGACAAUGGGCGCAAGCCUGAUCCAGCCAUGCCGCGUGAGUGAUGAAGGCCUUAGGGUUGUAAAGG
rnacentral:rRNA from 1 species